UUGAGCCCAACUCUGUGUCCUGGAGCAAGUUUUUGACAGUGGAUAUGAGACCAUUGGCACUCACUGGUGUUCGGUUUGACAAUGAUAUGGGUGCCACCUUCUUCAUUGACGAGGAUGAGAAAGUCGCUGUGGUUUUCGAUCUAGACGGAUACCUAAGCACCGAGAGCGCUCGUUACCACACCGCUUUUAUCAGUGGAAAGGAUGGAUUCUUUAAACCUGUGACUCUAGGAGUAGCUCCCAAUGUCGGGGAACCUUGUCCCAGAACCGGGCAUAUUCCGACUACAUAUCGUCCCCCGCUUGUCUGCUCGUCUACUUACCUUCCGAGUUUAGUGCAAGUCAACCAACAGCGCAAAAGGAAAGAAAGACAUGUUUAGUUUUCUGUUCCUUGCAGUUCUCAAGACUGCUAGUCAAUUCUCAGUUACAUUUCCAUGUUAUCUUUCUCCUCUUUUAGUUUCUCUUCUCAAACUUACUCUUGUCAUGGUUUAAGUUUCUUACUUUUCGUCAGUGAGAUGGUUAGGUACCUUAUUUGUUUCUUGCAUUGUCGUCUGCUAGUAAAUUUAUCAAAGCAUUGUUCUAGUCACUUGUUCACUUGCACCAUCCUUAAGCAAAGCAUGACAUGGUUUCAUGUACUGUUAGCCCAAUUAUGGAGUACAUAUCUCAUAUAAGUUAGUCUGUUUCUGCGUUUACUUCUAAGUUAGUCCCAAUUAUGGAGUACAUAUCUCAUACAUAUCUUAUAUAUACGAAAAGUGAUAUCUGAUCUCAUCUCAUGUAUGUUGUGUUUCUUACACCAUUAUGAAUACUAUCUGGCCUUUACAGGUUCGUCCUGUAGUGAAAGAAGUACUAGACACAUUUUGGGUAGGUGCUUAGCUAGGAACCAAAUAAAAACUGAAAGACCCUCGGCAAUUUUUGUCGCUAGGCAUGCUUAAAUAACCAUAGCUUUCUGCUUUCCACAUUUCACAAAUUAAGUAAAAGUGGAGGAACAAGUCGAAUUUUUAUGAUAGAAACAAUGGGAAGAUGGCAAGGAACAUUUUGCAUUGGCAAAUAUUAUUACAGGGAGGCACUAUUCGAACACAGCAGAUUUUCUCAUUCAGGCUAGUCUACGUCAGCUUCUCGGAAUCCUUUUUCUCUACGAUUUUGAUGAAAUUGCGGACAAUUGUCUUGCCCUCAGUUGUUAUAAUACUCUCCGGAUGAAAUUGAACUCCCUGUGAACAAUGUUUACAAGACUUCAAGAGUUCUGUUUUGAAUGGAGGGGGCAAUAAGAUUACAGUACACACUUGUGCGGGUUUUACCUGUAUAUGCUUGUACUUUCUGUGACGGGCAGCCAUAACCAGACCAUCUUCUGUCCAUGCUGUAACCUCGAGCUCAUCACUAGGAAAUGUAUCUUUUUCGAUCACGAGACUGUGAUAUCUACCUACAAUGAAAGGGCUGAAACCAACCAGAUUUGUUUUAUUACACAUUUUUACAGACUUAUGAUUAACUAUAUUAGACAACACACAAAAAAAAUUGAUUUUGAUUCAUACUUUGAUAAUCCAGAGAACAAGCCUUCUUCUCCUUUCUCAUCAUAGUGAACCAUUGAGCUUUUCCCAUGCAUAACACCAAAUGGUGACCGCACAAUCUUUCCUAAUCAAUGUUCAAACAAAAUUGCAUUUAAGCUGUGGAUGCAUAGAAUAAAGAACAAAACCAUGUUUGAACACUGAUACGGGAAAAUAAGAUGUCUUGUUUAUAUGCAACUAACCUCCAAAUGCUUCUCCUAUACACUGCAAACCCAUACAUACUCCAAAUAAAGGAACAAGUGGUCCGAGUUCCAAAACAGUUUGCAAGGAAAUCCCAGAGUCUUGAGGGGUACCUAUCAAAUUCAAGAAAAGUGUUAUCCACUUCUCCAGCAUAUAAUUAUAGGAGAAAUUUCAGAGGCCAAAAUAUUUACCAGGUCCAGGAGAAAUCAACACUCCUCUUGGAUUUUUUCUGCAAGAGGGAGAGAAUGAUAAAGGAAUGAACAUCAGUCGAUUAGCCAGAUUACGUUUUAAACAGAAUGCAUAUAGUUUCUUCUUACCUUUUCAGCUCUUCUACUGUAAGUUCAUCAUUGCGGUAAACUUCAAAAUGGCAUUGUAGCUCUCCCAUAUACUGUAGAAAUAGAUAGCAAUUCUCAAAAUUUUGUUUAUACUAAAGCAGAAGAAACCAUAUCAAGAGAACGAUCACAAUAAAUAGUAUGCACCUGACACUAUUCUGCGUGGAGAACUAGAAGUAAGACAUGAUCAAAUUGUAUAUUUGGUAUCUAUGUGCGUUAAGUCAGAUAUUCAGAGCAGCCAAAAUCUCAUGAGAAAGCGAGAUAUUUCAACUAGGAAUAACAAAUCUAAAGUCAAAAAUAGCAACUCAGGAAAUCGCCAAUUCAAACUUUGAACAUGAUUAAAGAUUCUACUUAAAAGACCAGACUUUAGGCAGCAAAGAAGUGAUGUGUUAGCUUUUGCUGGAUCAACAAUUACUCCUUACAACGACAAACAAGCAACGAGGAGCUUUCGACAAUAAGAUUCGAUGGCACGACAUAGCAACGACUCUGAUCACAUUAACAACAGAUGGUCAACAUUACAUAGUCUUAUCUAUUAGCAAGUCGAAAGUAGAUUGGAUUGUGAACUAAUGAGAUUCUAACAUUCAAUCACAAUGCAUAUACUUGAAUACAUUUCUAACAAAAUGCAAAUUCAGCUGCUUUCACAUCAAAAAUCUAACGAGCCUAGUAAGAUUUGAGAUUGUGUUAGAAAUGAAACCUGGCAGAGAUUGUAAGUGAAGCUGUCGUAAUUAUCAAUCACGAUGAUAGGACCAUUCUGUUUAGAGGAAUUGAUAACAACGGAAGGUAUCGAAUUCGAUUCUGCCAUUUCAAUAGAAGCUUCAGCAAAUGUACAUCUCUACGACUCUUCCCCAAAACUGAAAACUCCUAUAUCACAGAAGUAUAUUUGGGAUCUAAGUGAGAUAUUCAGAGCAGCCAACAAGGAAUAACCCAAUCUAACAAUAGCAACUCAGAAAAUCACCAAUUUUCAAACUUUAAACAAGAUAAAAGACUUAAAAGACCAGACUGUAGGCAGCUAAGAAGUAAUGUAUUAGCUAUUGCUGAAUCAAAAAUUACUCCUGGCAAGGACAAAGAAGCAAGGAGGAGCUUUUUCAAAUAUAUACAAAACCAAAAAAAAUUACUCAUCUAGAGAACUAGUCUUACGUGAAUAAGAUUCGAUGGUGCCGCAUAACGACUCAGUCUGAUCACAUAACAAGAGAGAAAUUACAUUACAUAGUCUUGUAUAUAAGCAAGUCGAGACUAGAUUGAUUGUGAAAUAAAGAGAUUCUAACAAUCAAUCGAGAUGCAUACUUGAAUACAAUUCAUAUGAAUCAAGGACUUGCAAUUAGCCAGGACCCUAAUUGAUUAAGACAUGGUUGACCAAAAAAACAAAACUAUUAGAAAUUAUGGUCAAAGUAGUAGCUACAGAGAUUAGAAAUCUAUUCCAAUGGUCUUAGCUCUAACGUCAACAAAGGUUUAAUCAUCCCCUAAACUUCAAGUUUCAACUUAGUCCGAAUCAGGAGAAAGACUAUGAGGGAAGUUAUUUGGACAAAUGGUUUAAUGCUCUACUAAAGGGGAAUCGAUCAGAUUCUAAUUGUAACAUUUUGGGUACCUGGAGGUUGAAGAUCCUUCGAAGAACGAAGUGAGCCGCCUCGCGAACAUUCUGUUCAGGUGAUGUUGACCCGACUCGCUGAUUCGACCCGGAGCUGGUUUUGAAACGGUCAAGGAUAUAAGUGGCGCUGGAUUGAUGAGGAAAUCGCUAUCAAUUGAGAUAGACUGCGAAUAGUACGAGAACACCAUCAUUUUGGAUGCUUUGACGCAGAUUCAUUCAUGGCUUCUAGGUCUUUUAUUACUUCAUUAGUUGUUGACUUAAAGAAAUAUAUCUAAGUAACGUUUAAUGAUGUGGGGGAUAUUAAGCAGCCAGGUUUUACACUCAGCUAUAGUCAUCUUUUCGUAUAAGCAUCUAAUUCGACAAAUGUAUAGUAUAGUCAUCUUUUCGUAUAAGCAUAUAUAGUAUAGUCAUCGUAUAAGCAUAUAUACCGUUUUCAAUUUAAUGGUCACACGAUCCUUUCUGAAAAAAAAAAGAAAAUUAUCAUUAAACAAGCUUCUGAUCAACAAAAUAAUAUCCCAAAAAGGUGGAUUAAAUUUUUGUUUUCUUCAUAGACAUAAGGAAAUUAACUUUAUAGUCUGACCAUUGAUUAACUUUCAGCAAUGUGCACAACUGCCAUUUUGAUAACACCAUAGUUUAAGAUGCCAAAAAAACAAAGGAAGAUGGAGCGAGAAAGAUGAAUUACGCUAUAGGAAUUGAUUUUCCUCUUAAGUGCUCAAGUCUCACUUUAAAUUCAACUAUCACGGAUGAGCCAAAUGCCCAGCCCUAAACAAAAAGAUUAACUUAGUAAUUGAUACCUUGUAGAAAGACAAACCGUGAGAUCAGUGAAAGUGGUAAGUUGCCUGGAUAUCACGAAAGUGUCAAGACUCUUCUCUUCACCAUCUUUAAUCAUAUCUUCCAUCAUAUGAAUCUUCAGCAUCUUGAAUUGACGAUCGAAGACAGGCUUGUAGAGAUGACUCAAACGUGUACCACAAUGGCCUCAUAAUAUAGAUGCAAGAUUAUUAUGAUUGAAUGACGAUUCUUCGGAUGCAUAUGUAGGAAUAAACACUGCGUCAUACGAGUUCUCAUAACCAUCAAUUCACUUUCGAAUAGAAAUGGUAAAUUUUCAUUACAAACUGAUCCAAGCACUUCAAGACCUAAUGAGAACAAAGUAAAUCAACACAAAGACAGUGUCCGGACUUUUGAUAGGAUUUAUUUUUUAAAAGGUAUUUCGCAUAUAAACUUCUUAACAUAGAUCUCUACAUAUAUAGACAAAAUGAAAUAAAUACAAAGAUGUGCUUCAUAAGUUCUCAACAAAGCCCAAGUAAUCUCCACAAUAAGGCUUAUUUAUAAGUCCUCUAAUCUGAGUGACUUCAAUGAUUCUUCCAGCCCAAAACAAGGCUUCUCUCCUCCAGAAAAAUAAUUAGGAUUAUUAUAUUAUUAUUUGUUUUGUUUCCUCGAAUAAAAAAGAGAAUCCGAGAACUUUUUAAGACAAAAGCCAAGUCUUCGAAACCUUAUGAGAUGUGAUAGGGUUACAAGGGUAAAACAGGAACUCAGAAUAAAAAUAAGUUAAUCGAGAAAGCUCCAAAUAAACACCACUCGUCCGCCUCUCUGUCUCUCACCAAAAUAAAAAACUCAAUCUCUCUCUCUCUCUCUCCAUCGAGAAACACUAAACUGCUAUAAUCAUUACCUCUCUUCGAUUUCUCAAACCCUAUCUGGCUCUCUACCCAUAUGCUUCAGAUCCGCAUUAAAAAAGCUAAGUUUUUUGUUAUGUCCUUCUUUCUUAUUUGAUCAGUUUGUUCUUGUUUCACGAUUUUAACCUGAGAUUUUUUAUAUAUUUUCUCCAGAUCUGCUAUCCGCAGUCAUCUGUUCAUAGGAAAAGGCAAGUUUUUUUUCCAUCUCUACUUCAGAUCUGAAAAAGAUGGAUUGUUCUUCUUGUGUUGUCCGGUUUCAUCAAUUUAAUCUGUUCUUUGUUAUUAUAUUUUACAGAUCUGGCUUUACUUUUAGAGAUUAUCUCAGAUCCAGCCUUUUACCCAAUUGAAGGCAAGUUCACAUACUCUGUUUUUUUUGUCUUGGUUUUAAUUUCUCGGUUUUUUACAUGUAACAGAUGUUUUAAGCAUGAUUUUUUGUUUAAACAGUUUGUUUUUCCUACCCUUAAAACUUCUCUGAAUUAAUAUCCCAUUUAUAUGACCACUCUAAUGUCUUCUUAUACGACUACGCAAGUGUUGCAUAUUCUUGACCUUUUCACACUUCAUUUGCAUUUUAGUCUAACAAUAUAAAUCCGCAAAUAUCUUGUGUUUAUACUUAUUGAAAUUAGUCUUCCGACAUAUAUAAUCUAGGAUCUAUUUGGAUUAUUUGGGCCAUCAGUCUCAUUCGUUUCAUUAACAUCUGAGUCUUUGAACUUUGUUUAUCUUUCCUAGCUUGAUAUUUUAAUAUUAGUUUUUUUGCGCCUCUUUGUUUUUGAUCAUUUAUUCUCUCAAUUGGAUAGUAUAGUGAAGUAAAUAAUGUAGCUAUGACUUUACCUGUAGCAUUUACCUGUAGCAUCUUAAAAAUAUGAAUUAAAAAUGAUUUAGCUAAUUUGGGCUUAUGUUUAUAAGCAUAGAAGUUUAUACUACAAGUUCGUUUAGAUUUUUCCAGUAUCAACUCAAACAUAGUUUUUACUCAAGCAUAGUUUUUACUCAAGCAUAGUUUUUACUCACACUAAAACCCACAUGUAGUGUGCAAAAGUAAGUACCCCCCCACCUCUGUUCCUCACGGUUUUUCUGCAAAGGACCCACCCUCCUUGAACUUCAGCGUCCAUCACAAUGUCCCCAUCAUCAUCAAACCUGUACAAGCCAGUGGCGAUCCUAACAUUGUAGAAGUUGAUAGCAUUUUUGCAAGUGGAGGGAGCACUUGUGUUUCUCCACGUAUUGCUGUCUUGAUUAAAGCGGUUGUCAACUCUGUAAAGUCCCUCUACUUCAAUAGGUAUGGUAAAUGAGUUUGAUUCUGGGAAUAGGUUGUGGUUGUUAUAAAGAAUGCUCCACUCAGCAGCGUUGAGCCAGCGCUGUGUUGAUGUUUGAAGCACAGCUGCUACAUCUGUCAAAAAUAGCAACCAAACAUAUGAGAUUUAUAUAUAUAUUAUAAGCAACUGUUUUAUUCUGAAAUUUUUAAAUCUUGCCUUAAUUGUACAAAUUCCAUAGAUCUAGGAGACUAUUCUAAGAUUCCAUAGAUCUGUAACACUGUGCUACGAUUUCUACACUGUUCUAAGAUUCCAUAGAUCUGUAACACUGUACUACGAUUUCUACACUGUUCUAAGAUUCCAUAGAUCAUAACUUUUCUAAGAUUUCUACACUGUUACCAAUUCCAUAGAUUGUAGCCUCGAUUUCCCAAAUUCACAGAUCUACUCUAAUUUUAAAUACAUUCCUCCAAUUCCCAAACUCACCAAUGUUUCUUGAUACUUUCAAUUUCAAUUUCUUUAUUACCCCAAAUUCGCUACCCCUAUAUCUUGCUUCUGAGAAUAUAAUCGUUUUUUAUUACCUUCAUUUCCUUCAGGUAGGUCCAUAUGCUGAAGAUUUAUCGCAGGAGCGACCACUACGGGAGCCGCCAUUGGAGAUUCUCUGUGAGAGAGAGAGAGAGAAAUAGUUUGAGAAUCAAUCUUCUGUAUUUUAUUGUGUAGAUCAAGUUAUUUAGUAUAUGCUAGUACUUAUGGUUAAAAUAGACUAUUAUUAAAAUUCAAAAGUAAUAAAGCCAACGAGUACACUAAACUCAGAUUAUAUUUUCCAAAACUAUUGCUAAAGAAUAUCAAUACGUACACUAGAUAUAGAAAUCGGAAUUAGGUACGUUGUGAUCCAUUUCAGCUACUGUUAGGGGUAAGAUUUGGGCUUGCUUGGCCCAAGGCCCAAAUCCAAGUCAAAGGCCUAAGCAGAAUGUUAAGUCAAGAGGGUAGGCUCGUCAAAAUCCUGGAGGAGUGUCCUACACGCAGAAGGCUAUAAAUACGGAAUAGCAUGUCUUGUCAAAGGGGGAUUCCGCCGGACACGCAGAGACACAGAGCAGCUCGUCAGCUCACCCGUCCGAAGUAUCCCGCCAGCCGGUCCGUCUCAAGCAGCUCGUCAGCUCACCCGUCUCAAGCAGCUCGUCAGCUCUCCCCUCCGAAGUAUCCCGCCAGCCGGUCCGUAUCAAGCAGCUCGUCAGCUCACCCGUCUCAAGCAGCUCGUCAGCUCUCCCCUCCGAAGUAUCCCGCCAGCCGGUCCGUCUCAAACAGCUCGUCAGCUCACCCGUCUCAAGCAGCUCGUCAGCUCACCCGUCCGAAGUAUCCCGCCAGCCGGUCCGUCUCAAGCAGCUCGUCAGCUCACCCGUCUCAAGCAGAUCGUCAGCUCACCCGUCUCAAGCAGCUCGUCAGCUCUCCCCUCCGAAGUAUCCCGCCAGCCGGUCCGUCUCAAGCAGCUCGUCAGCUCACCCGUCUCAAUCAGCUCGUCAGCUCUCCCCUCCGAAGUAUCCCGCCAGCCGGUCCGUCUCAAACAGCUCGUCAGCUCACCCGUCCGAAGUAUCCCGCCAGCCGGUUCGUCUCAAGCAGCUCGUCAGCUCACCCGUCUCAAGCAGCUCGUCAGCUCACCCGUCUCAAGCAGCUCGUCAGCUCACCCGUCUCAAGCAGCUCGUCAGCUCACCCGUAUCAAGCAGCUCGUCAGCUCACCCGUCCAAAGUACCUCGUCUGCCCAUCCAUCUUGAGUAACUCGUUUACUCGUCCGUCCGAAGUGUCUCUCCGACCUGCCCGCCCAAAAUAACUAACCUACUCGCACGUCUCGAGAAGCCAUCCAGCUCGUCGCACAUCUGCCGGCUCGUCAAUUACCUGCCGACCUUCCUCCAAUAAUGGCCUAGCUCGUUUAUCACAAUAUGAACUACGUGUGGCUUGAUCCCUUUCUAAGGGUACGUAGGCAACCUUUUACAAGGUUCAGCUAUAAAACGAAUAAACUCUAUUCUUCCUCGGAAGAUCGUCUUCCGGCCUCAAGCUCGUCUUUCAUCUACAAUCGGCUCGUUCUUACUCCAUUUAUGCUCGUUGAAGAAAUCAUCAUUUGUAAUCCGUCCAAUCCGCCUAAGUCGCGGGCUCGUCAUUAAUAGAAAGAUUCUUCUUCCUUCCCUAGAGAUCCCAUUUUCGUACUUGUGUGAUUCGUGCAUCAACAGCUACCAUAAACUAUUAAUUGUAGUGAGUAAGUGGACUUUAGAUUCAUAUAGAGUUAUGCGAUUCGGUUGAACGUAUCAUACGAAUCUCAGUGUCUACCUAAUUAAUACACAUAUAAUGCAAAAAGAACAAACGCAUACUAUAGAUGAUAAGACGUGAUUGGACACAUUAAACACAUAGUUUACGGCAUUACAUAAACCGAUACACAUAAUUAAUUACGUGUUACUUCUGUGGCGUGUAGUAGAAAGACUAGCUGCAUAUGGCACCUAAUUAAUACUCAUAUAUGGUUCAUGCGAAAUGCUGAUAUGUAUAAGGUAAUAUAUACCACCACUUUGGUACCACAAUGCAACAUCUAAAUUCGAUUAUGAUAAGCUAUGAUAAGCUAUCUUCUCAAUAUCAAUUAAUCGCUUCUUUAUUCUAAUACCACUCCUUAAUAUAUGCCUAUCAUAUCAUUAUUUCACAACGCAUGUUUACUUUUGUUAUGAAAUAGUUUUGUUUAAAGGGUGGUAACGUAAUUUAUGGGUUCCAUUAGGAUUGUGAUUUAUUUUCUCUCCUCAUCCUUAUGCAUGUAAGAAUUUGCAUUUUUAUAAAUAUAUACUAUGAAUUCAGUCCAACCUUACAGUGUGAACAAUUUAAUUAAACGAAGCAUAAUCCUUAAAAAAAUAAAACUAAAAAAAUUUAGUUAAGAUGGUAUAAGAUAAUUUUAUUAAGUUAAGAUGUUGCACUUUUCACUAAGUAAAUCAAACAUUUACAUAGUGAUUUGUCAUAAUGUGCAUAUUCCAUUUUUUUCGGGUCUUUCAUUUCCAUAUUCCUCAGCUCUUUCAUAUAUUGAAGAUUGAAGAGAAUAAGAAAGACGCUUUUUAUAGGAAACGAAUUAAAGAGUGUUGACUUGCCGUAAAAGUAACUUAAAUUGUUCGUCGCCUGAGCAUGGAUUUAUAUAAACGUGAAGUACUAUACAAAACCCUAACCAACAUUUGAUCAAACGACAAUGAUGUCGGAACUUCCAGAGCAUUUGUUAGAAGAGAUACUCUACCGCGUUCCAGCUAUGUCUUUGAAACAGUUAGGGUCUACUUGCAAAGGAUGGAACUGUUUAUUCAAGGAUAGGAGAUUCACAAGAAAACACUUGGAUAAAGGCCCAAAGCAGUUUCUGAUUCACAUGUCUAAAGGGCUUAGGGUACGCUCGAUGAGUGUCGAUCUCCAUAGACUUCCACAUGUAAAGGUCACAGUUGAAUUUACCCUAAUCAACCCUAAAUAUCCUAGUUGUCUAGAUCAAGAUCAAUUCGAGAUAUAUAAAGUCUCUCACUGCGACGGCUUAUUGUUAUGCGUCUGCGUCACCAAGGAGGACAAUACUUGGCUCGCGGUAUGGAACCCGUGUACUGGUCAAACAAGGUGGAUUCAACCCAUGACUUAUAUGACAACUAUACUCUCGGAUCCUACCAAAAUAAUAGCUACAAUAUAUUGGCACACACUGGUUUUGGCUACGACCACGAAUUCCAAAUUUAUGAAAUUAACUCCAAUUCAUGGAGGAUUAUUGAUGCCACUUUGGACUUCAAAUUAGGGUAUAUUGGUCGUGGCGUGUCUUUGAAGGGAAAGACUUACUGGAUUGCUAGUGGUGAAGAAGAGAAACGGCUUGGCAAAUUCUUAAUCAGUUUUGAUUAUACGACAGAAAGAUUUGAACGUCUAUGUCUUCCGAAUAAGUAUCCUUGUUAUGCAACUCUGGCUCUAUCCGUUGUUAGAGAAGAGAAACUUUCCAUGUUAUCGCAACGCGGAAUUAAAUCAAAGGCAGAAAUAUGGGUGACAAAUAAGAUUGGUGAGACACAAGUGGUGUCGUGGAGCAUGGUCUUAGCUUUGGAUUUGCAGCCUAAACGUUGUAUUGGGGAAAGCGGAAGUUUCUUGGUCGACGAGAAGAAGAGAGUGGUCGUGUGUUGUGAUAAUAUUAGAGACCAAGGAAAAACCACGGUACACAUUUUUGGAGAGGACAACAAAGUGAAACAAGUGGGUUUUGAAGUCGGAUCAUCUCUGUAAUGUAUGUUUUAUUAUGUUCCAAGUUUGACUCAAAUCUACCAAGGUAUCACAGGCAAAAGAAAAAGGGACGAAUGAUCAUAGUGUUUGGUGUGGAUCUUGGAGCAACUAUCAGAUUUUUCAAUUAUGAUAAGUUUUCUUCUCAAUUUCAAUUAAUCGCUUCUUUAUGCCAUAAUUUAGAGGCAAUUGCUGUAAUAUUUCUAAAUUUUUUAGGCAUUCUUUACUUUGUACUUCUCCUUUUAAUUAUAUAGGUAGAUUUGAUGAUAAUUAGAAGAUUAAGACUUCAAAAAUGGAGAUUAUGUGAAAUUGAGAAAAGCAUCACACAAAGAAAAUGGUUUUUGGUGGAACAAUUGGGAUAUUUGCAUAACAUGAAUUUUGAUUCCGGUUUACUAUACAUUAUUUGUUUCUUGAUUCCGGUUUAGUAUAUCCUAGUACUUACUUAAAUCAAUAAUCCGGGCAUGGUUAAAAUUAAUCAGACGUUGAAUCAAUGAGACUCCCCGUCACCGUCAAAGCCACUAAGCCGUCGUUUCUCGUCAUUUGGAUCCGAUACUCCUCCGCCGCGUCGUCGCCGACAGUCUCCUUGAAUCCAGUAAACCUCUCUCCCGCACACGCUUACAUGUAUAUGCGACUUUAUUAUCCAUUGGAAUCAUUUUGAGUGUGUUUUUUUUGUCUUGGGGUUCAAUACUGUAGAGUGGACGAUUACAGCAAACUCUCGCAGGAUCUGUGGAAGUGAAAGGAAAAUCUCUGCACUCCGGUAAGUUCUCGACGGUGAAGCUAAAUCCGGAGAUCGCCGGAGCUGGUAGGUUCUUCGAGUUUCGAUCCAGAUUCAUCCCUGCGUCGAUUGAAUUUGCUCAGGAAUCGCCUCUUUGCACGACGCUGUUGAAAGAUGAGCUCAAAAUCCGAACCGUUGAGCAUUUGUUAUCAGCUCUUGAGGCGAAGGGAGUUGAUAAUUGCAGGAUUCAAAUCGAGAGCGAAAGUUCCGAUGAUCGAGAAGUCGAGGUUUGUUACCUGAAUACAUACAUUUUGAGUAAUCAUAGGUCGAAUCAAUGUCUCGUAUUGUCUAUUUUGACUGGAUUUGUAUGCUAUAGAGAUUGUCAACAUCUUGCUGUGCAGUGUAGCUCUUAGUUUUAUAGACUUGGUACACUGGAGGAGAUGAUGAGUGUAGGCAACACUAACCAAGUGACAGGUCCCUAUUUUUGAUGGAUCAGCUAAAGAAUGGGUCGAUGCGAUACAAGGAGUUGGCAUAAACGCGGCUCAAAACCAUGAUGGUGAAAGUGUAGAGAAGAUGGUCGCACAUGUGAACAAGCCUGUGUAUGUUUGCAAGAACGAUACUUUUGUUGCUGCAUUUCCGGCUCUAGAGACUCGGAUCACUUGUGGUAUCGACUUCCCACAGGUUCAGUCUAAUGGCAUUUUGACUUAUUUUCUGCUUGUACAUAAAUUGUUAUUGACUUGGUCUGUUGUGUAUGAUGAUGAACUUUACAGGUGCCUGCUAUAGGCUGCCAAUGGUUUUCUUGGAGACCUAUCCAUGAGUCUUCUUUUGCAAAGGAUAUCGCAUCAUCAAGAACCUUCUGUGUCUAUGAAGAGGUUAGUUAGAUCCAUUGUUGUUGCUUAGGAGCUUUGGAAUCAGUAAACUGGUGUUCGUUCUUCAACCAUCUGUGUCUGAGGGUUUUGUUUGCAGGUGGAGCGUAUGCGUGAAGCAGGGCUCAUUAAAGGAGGUUCUCUGGAUAACGCCAUAGUUUGUAGGUAAAUAAUCUUGCAUAUUGAUGACUAAAGGGACACAAUAUUCAACUGAAACUGUCUCUAAUGCAGCGCUGAGCAUGGAUGGAUGAAUCCUCCUCUGCGGUUUGAUGAUGAAGCAUGUCGACAUAAGAUUCUUGACCUAAUCGGUGACCUCUCCCUUGUUUCACGGGGCGGAAAUGGAGGACUCCCCGUGGCUCACAUAGUCGCAUAUAAGGUAAAUAAUACUAGCUUAACAUCUUAUAGUUUGCACAAAAAAGAAAAAAAAAAAACAUCUUAUAGUUUUCUCGAGAAAAGAAAACAAUAGUAUUAUCUUUCAAAUGCAGGCGGGUCAUGCACUGCACACUGACUUAGCACGUCACCUUACCAUGGACUGAAGAGUAUGUGCUCGUUGUCAACCAUAUCCCGCAAAAGCCUUGAUCGUUUCUGUUUCUUUUUGGAUUCGUUAUCCAAAGAUGGUACCAAUGUGGGAUUUUUGUUUGUUCAAUGGAAGAUCAUUACUCUUGUGAAUACAGUAAAAUUUGUAACAUUAAACUAUUUUAGGUACUAAUCAUAGGGACAUUUUAACCGAUCAAACUGUUCCAAAACCAAAUUGAAUUGAAACUUAAGUUGUAGUUCAAUAAUAGUUUUACUCUGUACCAAUUUAACAUAUUGAAACUGAAAAUAAAAGAAAAUGGAACAGAACUAAUAAAAAUAAUAAAAUAAUUUAAAACGAAAAAGAAUUUGACUUGGAUACAUUUUUCACAUUAGGAAAAGGUAAAUUCCUCUCCUUUUUUAUUUUUAUUUUUUUACUCGUAUUUAUAAUUGUUGUACAUUAUAACGUAUUAGGAUACGUAUUAAGAGAGAAGAACCCUAAUUACUUACGAGAGAGGAGAACCCUAAUUUUCAAUUGUGGUCGAAAAUUGGAAGAAUGAGGAGGAGGAGGUGCGAUCUUCAACCGAAGAGAACGAGAAUGUGCGAUCUUCAACCGAAGAGAACGAGUAUGUGCGAUCUUCCACCGAAGCUGGUAGGGGAGAAGAUCCUCACGAGGAUUCCGAUAACAUCUCUGAGAGCGGUGCGAUCCACUUGCAAAUUAUGGAACGCUUUAACCAAAGAUCGGGUUCUGGGUAAAGCAGCGGCGCAGUUUUUGGGGUUUAUGACGAUGGAUUCAAAGGUCUGUUCAGUUAGAUUCCAUCUCCGUCGCAGCAAGGAGGAAGAAGAAGACACGAUGGAUCUAUCUAUAAAGCAGGUAGAUUUGCUUAAUCAAGUCGAGAUAUCUAGGGUGUAUCACUGCGACGGCUUGUUGUUAUGCGUGGCUAAGGACAACUCGAGGGUCGUGGUUUGGAACCCUUAUUUGGGGCAAACAAGAUGGAUCAGACCCAGAACAGAAUCCAACAUAGGAGACAGCUAUGCUCUUGGAUACGACAUCAACCGUAACCACAAAAUCUUGAGGAUGGUGCAGACAAGAAACGUUUCCGUUUACAGGUACGAAAUCUACGACUUGCGCUCUAAUUCAUGGAGGGUUCUCGAGGUCACUCCCAACGGGGAAAUGGACCCUAAUCAUCCCCUCUACGGCGUUUCUGUGAAGGGAAAUACCUACUUUUUUGCGCAUGAGGAUAGCAGCAGUGGUGAAAUUGAUGAAGAUGGCGACAUAAUCGAUCUUGAAGAUUUCUUACUCUGUUUUGAUUUUACAACAGAGACAUUUGGUCUGCGUCUGCCUCUUCCGUUUCACUCUACUAUCGAUGCGACUGUGACCCUCUCUUGUGUUAGAGACCAGCAGCUCGCGGUGCUAUAUCAUAAUGAGGGUCUUCACAGUGAUGAUCGGUUUACCACAGUUGAGUUUUGGGUUACUACUAGUAUUGAGCCCAACUCUGUGUCCUGGAGCAAGUUUUUGACAGUGGAUAUGAGACCAUUGGCACUCACUGGUGUUCGGUUUGACAAUGAUAUGGGUGCCACCUUCUUCAUUGACGAGGAUGAGAAAGUUGCUGUGGUUUUCGAUCUAGACGGAUACCUAAGCACCGAGAGCGCUCGUUACCACACCGCUUUUAUCAGUGGAAAGGAUGGAUUCUUUAAACCUGUGACUCUAGGAGUAGCUCCCAAUGUCGGGGAACCUUGUCCCAGAACCGGGCAUAUUCCGACUACAUAUCGUCCCCCGCUUGUCUGCUCGUCUACUUACCUUCCGAGUUUAGUGCAAGUCAACCAACAGCGCAAAAGGAAAGAAAGACAUGUUUAGUUUUCUGUUCCUUGCAGUUCUCAAGACUGCUAGUCAAUUCUCAGUUACAUUUCCAUGUUAUCUUUCUCCUCUUUUAGUUUCUCUUCUCAAACUUACUCUUGUCAUGGUUUAAGUUUCUUACUUUUCGU
rnacentral:lncRNA from 1 species